UCACUGCUGACCUCAUCGGAAGAGUCUUUAAAUACAGGGAAGCUGUAGUGGUGAUAAGCUUAGCAAAAUUCUAAGUUGCGUUGGGAAGUUCAAGUUUCGUCACUUGAAAUACUGUCAGCGGUUUUCUUGAAAGUGACAAGUGACUGGCUCACUUUGUUCAUUUUCUAGGAAAAUGUUGGCUAGAUACUCACGUCUAAAUAGCCACAGUGGUAACAGAAGCCAUUCUUUCCAGGAAAAAAAAUGGCAUUCCACGAACGGAUUCCGCCUGCAACUCAAGCACACAGGUGCCUUCCUUCAAGACAUCCAUGGGAGCAAAUCCUACUUCAGUAGGCGGAAGUGCUUUGUCCCACACCGUCAUGGAGAGUUGAAGACUGUGUACUAAAGAGCCAAUUCUAAUGAAAGCAAUACUAUCUCCUGUUUCACCGAACACAAUAUUAAGUAGGACAAGCGUCUGCUUGUUUUCACUUUAUGCGCGUGAUGGUGGUGAGCUCACUGAGUCCCAGCCCGGUUUGGAGCUACGGCCACGAUUUGCGCCCAGAGGCUACGCCAGCGAAUACGGUGUUUAUCCUGUCUAAGGAGUCGCUUUUGCGCCAGGGGCGCAAUGCUGAUGUGGUGGUUCCAGGAAGAAUCAACGGACUUUUGAAAAGGGCAAACAUCCUGCUUCAGAGAACUGUUCUCAGAUUCAGCUAAUGAUCUGCAGAAGAACACCACCAUAGUUCUAACCUGAAAACAGGACUCCACAGCUUGACCAAUUACCUGAACCACAACACUUGAGUCCAAAGGAUUUUGGCUGCUUCCAAAAGUCCAAUCAACCCUUAAAGCUACCAGUGAGACUAUUCAGACGAGCAUGAAGUGAGCUCUGAGGUCAAUGCCAAAUGCUUUGGACAAUGGCAGGAUCCCUGGGCAGAGGCCAAUUUACCAUGAAGCUAAUAAAGCUUAAGCUUCUGGGCCCCUUUUGAGGCCCUGAGAGGGGUCCUAGCAAUGUGUUCACAUAUUUGCCUUUUUGUUGCAAAAUUUGCACAAGUAAGUCUCAAUGAGUCAACUUCUCACCCUAUUUCAGCUUCUCCUCUGCUAUAUUUCCCCCCGCCUGUUGCAUGGGGUUGGAGUCAUCCAAGGCAGUUGAGUUAGAGAUACGUUUAAUCUGAAUUUAGUGAGAUAGAUUUAUGAGGAUCAAAGUCACUUCUGUGUUUGGUCACUUUAUUGCUGGCUAUCUCGGUAUAGGAAUGGCUUCCAGGUACACACCUCCAGCCCACUGGGCUGGUCCAUCUGGCAUCAUGACACAAAACGGCAGGGCCAGACGUUGACUCUCGCUAUGAAAGUACUCGUGCUUGGCACGGGAAAUCUCUGGGCAGUGGAGGAGGGGAAACGAGUUUUAAACUGUGCCCAGCCAGAGGCUGGUCUGUGAAAUGGGGAAGAAUACAUUGUGAGGUUAUAAUAAAGAUGAAACAAAAUAAAGUGUGUUAGAAGUGUUAGCCAGUGUCUAGCAUUGGUUGGUAAAUAAAGGUACUGUUAUUUCUUA